GUGCUUGUUUCGGCAGCGCAUAAGCUAAAAUUGGAAUGAUACAGGGAAGAUUAGCAUAGCCCCUAUGGAAGAAUGACAUGCAAAUUUGUGAAGCAUUUCAUAUUUUU